CCCCGUCCGCCGCCGCGACACAAGCCCGUCCGCCGCCGCCUCGACACAAGCCCGUCUGCCGCCGCCGUGUUGCGUGCGGCCCGAGCCGUCUGCACCGUCGAAGUCCGCCGCUGGAAUCGGCUGGAUACCUCAACCCCUGAUCCCCAGUUAAAAACACCACGAGCCGUCCGCCGCCGCCGCGCUCCGCCUCGAUCCAUCUACCGCCGCGCCGCGACACCGUUGCCCAGCGCUCCGCCAGAAAGGGUUUAGUUUUGAGGUAAAAGAUUACACCUGUAUUAUGCUUACUCUUCUUUGGUCAGGUUUUGGUGUCAGGAUCUGCUCUUGGUUAGAAGGGAUUGUUUCCAUCGAGUCCUCGACACUCAGGUUCAAACUUUCCACCUCUCUUAUUCCUCUUCGUUUUGGAAUUUUAUUACCUUACCAUGGAAUGAUCAUUUUGUCGGCCCCAUUUUCUCAUACUGUUGGUCUUUGAUUGGUUUUUUUCCUUGCUUGCAUAGUAGUAUGAACUCGAAAUAGGUGAACUCUGUUCUAUUUAAUCCCGUUCAGUGUUCUUCAUCGGUGAGUUGAUGCUAAGUUACCUGUUUUCUUAUCCUUUGUGGAUUACUUGAAAUACAAGAAAUUGAUAAUUUUGUAGGCAAAAGACAGGACUAUAGCUGGCCGGUGAUAUCUUUGAAUCCAAUCUUUCCUUUUAAAUAAUUUAAUUGGUUAGCAUAAUAUCUAACAAAUAGAAAAUCGAAUAGUGGAUAAUCUGUUAUGAAAGAAAGGAAACAUUAUUUGAAGAAUCAAGAUUUGUGAUUAAUCAUUGUCUUGUUUGUUGGAUUAGGUCUAACUUUCUUGACUAAAUUGCGAGCGUGGAACUUUACGAGAUGAAAUAGGGAAAGACAGAAGAUAGAACUUCAAAGGAUAAUUGAAGCGACUCGUUUUCGAAAAAGGAAUAAAAAUAAAGUAAAUUCAAGGAAGAGCUUUCUUUUUUAUAAGGGCCCUUCAGGGGAUAGUGGAAUGCUUAUCUUCUCCUCUUAUUCCAUAUGGAAUACAAUCAGUUAAAAUAAGAAGGAAUAGCGGGAAAUUCCACCUUUCACUCAAAAAAGAGGGUUAAAUCCUAAAGAAAUAAUCCAAAAUAGGAAGAAGUUUUUUUUUUCAAAUUCAAUUGUUUAUUUCUUUUUUAUUCCAAAAUUCCCCUGAAAAUCCAAUUGAAUUUUUCAACUGGCCGGUGAUACUCCUUUUAUGCUUCUAUUUUUGGCAUCCUCAAAAGGAGGAUCAUGGAUUAGCUGGUCGACAAAGAUGUCAAGUUUUCUUCUUUCAGAUCAGCUUUCCGCUGGUUUAAUGGCUUUCCUAUUCUUUUUGUGGUGCGGUACAUUAGCAGCUUGAGUGAGCAUGUCAUUCUCCAUUCUACAAGCGGCAGGGAGUGAAAAACAAAUAAGAUAGAAAUAGCACGUGUGCAUUUGAUGAUGAUUAUGCAAUGGUUUACUUCAGUUAGAUAAACCUCUCACAAUCUUGGUGAAGGUACUAAACAAUGUUUCCUUACACAGGUAAAAAUGCCUACAUAGGUCUUUACAUGGUUAUUUGUGCAUGUCAUGUGCAGACUUCUCUUCAUUUUGUUAGGUUGAUUUUUGCAUAACAUAAUAUGGAGUUGAAGGUCUUCUUCUGGUACUUUCAAUAAAGACGGGUGGGAAAUUCUAUAAACGCUCAAUUGUUCAUGAAUUAACAUGAGUUUUCUGGUCAUUAAAUCUGCCGGAGAGAAAAUGUAACUGGGUGUUGAUUUAUGUUUUUCGGUCUGAACAUUUCCAUUGUGGAAUGACAUGUAAAAAGAGUAAACAAGUAAUAAAACAUCUUGUCUUCGUUCCACCUCUAUCUACUGGUGAAAGGCACCAUGCAGAUUGUGCAAGAAUGAACAUGUGUAUAACUUCACCUAUUUUGGGAACACUUUCCUGAUUCUUCUGUUGCAAUCUUUCAAUAUUUUUUUGGCUUGCCAUCAGUUAUAGUGUUUGAUAAUACCUUUCUGUAAUUCUUCUCUAACUGAAUUAUGCUUUGACAAAUAUAUGAGUUAUAGUGCUUGCGCCAUUUGGAAUUCUCAAGGGGAAUGAUGCUUUCAGAGCUUUGUGAGAGCACUCUCAUUGUACUUUCUUGCUCAUCAUGUAAGAAUUCGACAUUAAUUUGAACACAAAAAGCAUGAUCACCGUCUAAUUGCGGUGAAUAUUCUUGUAUUUUCUGUGAUUAGUUAUGACAUAUGACGGACAAUAACCAGAUACACUUUUCACGUGUUGUACCAUGAAAUCUGCAAGACUGACAGUUGCUUUGGUGCCUUGCCAAAUCAGUUAACCAAUGUAUUGAUAUUACUUGUGCAAGAGUCUUAUUGGAGAUUAAAAGAAGUUGAUCUUCGGGAAGGAAAACCGCGACCCUCUUUGUGAAAAAUCUCAAGUUAAAUAUGGAGAUCACGAAGAUACAAAGUUCCAUAGUUUACAUCCAUAAGACCUCGACUACACCACCUAUUAUCUUCAGCAAGCUGAAGAAUGAAGCUCGCUAUUGGGCGCUCGUGGGUGAUAAGCUUCUGAGGAGUAUUAUGCCGGGAUAGUAGGCCUUUGUUAUUGUCCUUUUCUUUUCCUUUUCCUUUUCAACCUUGUUUGAACUCCUUAUUUAAUGAGAUGAGGCAAAGCCUUUGCUUCCGUUUUAAAAAAAUAAAUAGUUUACACGGUGGAAAGUUCAAGUGCAAAAAAUGUCUCUGCUGAACAAGGUAGUUAUGCUCUGUCUAUUAUAGAAUAAUGCUUGGAAAAAUAUAUGUCCGGUGCGCCAAGGACAAGACUUCCGUUGAAUUAACACUGAGUUAUAGUUAGACGAAUUCUUCUUGUUUGUGACCUGGCUAGACUUUCACUGAAUUUGCACUUAAUUAAAGUUCAGCAAUUAAUAAUUCUUAGGGAACAAUAUCUUCUUGUUGCUUGAGUAUAUUAAAAUACAUUUAUCCACGUUUCUGAUUCAACUAGACCGAAUUAAACGCCUUAGAAAAAGAUUAGUUCGACAUGAACUUUGAAAUCUUAGCCGUGUUGCUUUGUCCCCUCGGGAAUUGCUUGUCUGUACAUUCUCAUUCUCUCGAAUCGACCGUCUUUUCCUCGAAAAAAAAUCUUAGCUGUGUAAAGUGUAAACUCCUUGUUGAUCUUGAUUCUGAUUGAAAGCCCAUGAUAUUAGAUUAUAAUACUUUGAUGGACAGAUGAUGGCGUUGCAUUUUUUAUAUUGUUUUUAAUUUAUUUGAACCAUCUACUUUUUCUUCCGUUGUAGAGUUAUGGUGGAUUUUGUACUAUUAAAUGUUUUUGUUUUACUCCAGAAGACAUGAAAUCAAUACUUUUGAUUAGCUGGGUUGCACCAUUAGGCAUACUCACAAGAAUGAUAUUUUUGGUGCUUUGUGGCAGCGCUCUUAUUGUACUUUCUUGCUUAUCAGUUCAGAAUUCGAACACAGACGACAUGAUCAUGUUCCCAUUGUGGUGAAUAUUCUUGCAUACCUGUGAUAGUUAUGACAUGACGUACAAUAAUCAGAUAUUAUUAUUGGAUACUAUUUACAUUUUAGUGCUCUUUUCACGUCUUGCACCACAAAAUCUGCAACACUGACGACAGUUACUUUGGUGCCUUGCCAAAUCAGUUAAUCACUGAAUUGAUAUUACGUGUGCAGAGUCUUAUUUGGAGAUUAAAAGAAGUGUCUCUUCACGAAGUAUAUCAUCACAAGGGAUAUGGUAUAUCGUGCCCGUGUUUGGCAAAUUAAAGACUCCUGUAUUCAAUGAGUGGGUUGCGGUUAUUGAUAUAGAUGCGCUGGCUUCAGUCCUCCAACACUCACCAAUUUUUGAAAUCCUCACCCUUCAGCUUCAUCAGAGUGAGGACCUCGUAACCAUGAUAGUAGCUGAAGAAAACUAUGAUCCAAGAGAACAGCCAUUUGCAUGCACACACCUUGUGGUAGUCAACAUUGAAUGUCAAUAGGCCGAUGGGAAGGUUUGCAAAAUUUUGAAGUUCUUCAGUACAUGUGGCAUACUCGCUGAGAAAACUAGCAUCAAGAAGACCAUAGGAUUGUGGUCAGAUUUUAAGCUAACUCAUACAACGAAGGGUUGGGCGUCAUCAUUGCUUAAGGUGUGGAAGCAUUGAAAAAUCUGGUAAAGGGCAUGAAAGAGAUACUCCAUGCAUGUUCGACAUGAUGGCUAAGGGGUGUAAGAACAAAACAGGAGCCCCGUGGAGUGGUAAGGACUGCAUCUGCGUGCUUUGUCCUGACGAACUCUUGCAUCAAGUGCUCUCCUUGUUGCCGGCAGAUGAGGCCAUGAGGACAUUCAUGCUCUCCCACCAGUGGCGCUACCUCUAGAGGAUUGGUGUGCGGUUGUGGACUUACAUGUACGCACUAAUUUCCAUUCUCCAAUAAUGUCCUAUCUUUGAGGAGCUCACACUUCAGUUUUAUUAUGUUGAGAUCUUGGGCUCUUCGAUCGCUGCAUAAUAACCAGUCCGCCGCCCAUCAAAUCUGUGGCUUUGCUCCCCACGACUGGAUUUCUGUUGGACAUGCAGAUGCAUCUGCACACGCACUGCGGACCAGAGCUUGGACGACGACCAGAUCAACCACCUGUGUUUUUUCUCUGAUCGAUGAAUCAAUUUCCUCUUAACGGCAUGCAUGGAUCAAUCAGAUGAAUCAUACGCGUCUGCACGGAAGAGCGGGGAAGAUUUCAGACCAAGAGAAAAACGUACGUGGUGAAAAAAAGUCGAUUGCAUCUACUAAAUUGUAAGUUGAUUCUUUUCUAGGAAUAACAAUUUAUUUUAGAAGAGCUAUUGCAUGUUCUAUAUCAGUGUUUUGGGUCAGAAAUUACUAUGUCAAAGAUUGGCCUGUCAAAAUAAAUAUACCUACUGUAUGUGAUCCACUACAUGAAAAAUCCAGCUAUCAAAUAUUAUUAUC